AGACCCCUUGCUAGGCUGCUUUAUGGGAGGCUCAGUCCUCUAUGCGACUAAGCCACCAUGAGUCUGCUGGAAACGGGCAGCUGAGGGUUCUCCCUCUUUCAGGGGAAGUCUUGGGUUGCAAAGAAAUGGAAGUGGCCGCAAUUGCCGGGGAAGCCGUCCAGUUACAGCCAGUGACAUUGCCGGACCCUUGGGCAGAAAUCACCUGGAAGGUCGCACUAGACUCAGCAGAGUCGUAUCGGCUUGUAACAUUUAAUAAAAAGGAACCCCAUGACCUUGGGUCAGCCCCACAUUUUAUCAAAAGAGUCACUUUCCACCCUGAGAACCUCUCACUGCAGAUCGAUCCCGUUAAGAAGUCAGACAGUGGCCUCUAUACCUUGGAAGUUGACCCUGGAGGAGGCCGAGUCAACAUCACAAGGUUCCGUGUCUCUGUGUUCGACCGAGUCCGGCAGCCAAACCUCACGGUGCUCUCUGCCCACCAGGAGCUCGGCAAGUGCAACAUUAACCUGUCCUGCUCGGUGCCUGGCGCUGACAGAGUCACCUACACCUGGUCCCAAGGCACGUCCUGGAUCCCGUCUGACAGGGACCAUCAGCUCCAUGGGCACCAAUCCCUGCUGAACUUUGUGAUUAAUGCAGACAGCAGUGACGUCUUCUACCGAUGUAAUGCUAGUAACCGAGCCAGCUGGGACGCAGACACUGUAGAUGUCAAACCAUUGUGCAACUCCCCAGCCACAGACUUUUUUCAGAAAGUCCCACUGUGGGCAAUUGUUGCUGCAGGGCUGGGGCUGCUGCUUCUGCUCACAACGCUCACCCUCAUCUUCCUCUGCAAGCAUCGGAAGAAGCGAAGUUCCUGCAAAGACGGUGACCCACCCCUCACCCUCUACGAGGAAGUGGAGGACUCCCGCACCAGAAGACACACUAAUGGAAAUGCACAGGGAAGAACUGUAGGAAACACCAUCUACGCUGAGAUCAACUGCAACCUGAAAGUAAGCGCCCAGUGGUCCUCCCAACCCAGGUUCACUCUGCUGCUUUCAAACCAUAGGUUUUGUUUUACAUCAAGCUACUCCCUGUGCAGACGUAUGGAUGAAAGGAGACACCUCUUAGGCCUGUGGGACCAGAUCCUCUAUUGGUGUAAACUGACAUCACUCCAUUAACAAUUUACACUAGCUGAGGAUCUGGCCAAUGGUUCUUGAAGAAUCAUAGCAAUGCCAUGCUGGAAGGGCCCUUGAGAAGUCAUCAAGUCCAGCCUCCUGCACUGAGGCAGGACCAAGUAACCUGAGACCAUCCCUUGUCCAACCUCUUCUGAAAAACCUCCAGUGACAGUGGAUUCCACAACCUCCUUCGGAAACCUAUUCCAGAGCUCAAUUCCCCUCAGAGUUCAGAAAGUUUUUCCUACUAGCUAACCUGUUGUCUGAUUUGUUGAGUGGUUAUUGAUUAUAUUGACUUAAGAAUUUCCAACUGAUCACUGAUUAGAUUUGAGGUUUGAAAGGUUCUAGUCCCGGUAUCAGCACAACAGAAUGAAGUUCAAUGUCUGGUUGGGAACCUGGACAUGCACAAUGAUCGCACUCACCUGAAUGUUCCUACCCUCAAACAUCCACAGCUGGUUUCUGUUCCUAUUCCUCGGGUUCCCUGAUCUCACUUUACACCCCAAAUCCCCUAAACACAAUGUUAUCAGUUCCCCAAUAACUCUGGGUAACUCCCUUAUGCUCAGGCUCAGAGGCCUCCAAGCCUUACGCUAACUACUUAAGGGAAAUAUCUCACAGGUGUAGACCUGUAGGUUCCUCAUAUCACUGUUCCAUAAAAUACCUUCAGGAUAGUUCUAUGAGCUAGAGACUGGAAUCUCCCUUGCUGCCGAUUAAGCCCGUUACUACUUGGCCUACCUUCAGUGGACAUGGAGAACCAUUGACCCCGUCCUCUCUAUAACAGCCCUUAACAGAUUUGAAGACUUAUCAGGUCCCUUCUUUUCUCAAGACUAAUCCUGCCUAGCUUUUUAACCUUUCAUAGGCUCCUCCCUGCUUGGUCAUCUGCAGACUUUAUAAGCACGCUCUCCACUCCCUUAUCCAAAUCGCUAAGGAAAAUAUUGAAUAGUACCAGGCCCAGGACUGGCCCCUGUGGGCCCCCCGUCCAAUUCUGACAGUGAACCAUUGAUAACCAUUGAUUACCUUCAAUCCAUAACAUUUUUGCUCUGUUCAAGUUCUAAUCUAACUGUACCUCUUUCCUUGAACAGCCCUUGAUAAAGGGCUGUAUUCUAGUGGUUUGUGCUAGUCACUGGGAUACCUAGUCUUGAAUCUCAGCUCUCCAGCUGACUCACUGGGUGAGUGAAGUGUUCUGAGACCUAAUGACCAGAAGCACUACGUUAUUAUUAGUAAAAGGAUCAUUGGGUCAGGUCCUCGGCAGGUGUACAUUUUGCAUAGCUCCACUGAAGUCAACAGAACUAUGCUGACCUACGCCAGCUGGGAGCUGGGCCCUUUGUCCAUCAUUUGCUCUUCACUGAUGUUGAUUGUCUUGACUUUCCCCAGCCAGCAGACUUCACGGUGUAUGCUGCUGUCCAGAGGGUUCAAGAAGCCCCUUCCAGACCCAGGCGUCCUCAAAUGCUGCGCUCAUCUUCACCUAAUCCUGGGCAUCUGUAUUCCUAGCUUCCGCAGCCCCUCGCGGCAGGACACCAUCUUCCUUUCCUUAAGGGCCUUUUGCUCUUGGAGCGAGCUCCUUGCUGAUGGACAGACCUCGACCUGUGCAGAUAAGCACAGCUUUGAUCCGAGCUGCUUGGAUGCACAAGACUUGGGGGGUUUCCUCCUUGCGUUCAGAGAGGAAAUAUCACAAUAACAGUGUCUUAGAAUCAUAGAAUAACAGAGUUGGAAGGGACCUCUGGAGGCCAUCUAGUCCAACCCCCUGCCCAGAGCAGGACCAAUCCCAACUAAAUCAUCCCAGCCAGGGCUUUGUCAAGCCUGACCUUAAAAACUUCUAAGGAAGGAGAUUCUACCACCUCCCUAGGUAACGCAUUCCAGUGUUUCACCACCCUCCUUCAUUCGUAUCAUGCAGUCCCAGGCCAAACCGUGAAGGCUCAUGGAAAACAAAUACACAGAGGGAGCAGAGGACAGAUACCGGAACUUUUCUUUCAUUGGGAAAGGUUGUUUGAGAAGGUUUGAUGUGGAAAGAUGGUUGGUUUGGGGGUAUUUUAUUUUAUUUUGUUAAUUUCAGCGGGUUCAACACUCCUGUGCAGUUUGCACGCAGAGAUGUGUAGAGAUUUAACUGUAUAAGCAACGGGUAUUGUGGGUUAAUUUGCUUCAUAGCUUAUUUAUAGCUUUAAAAUAUAGCUAAGCAGGACAGAUGUAGGGUGUAACUCACCCUAAUGCUAGUGUAAAUCAGGAGUAACUCCACUGAAGUCAACUGGACCAAAUACUCUGUUGGUGUAAAUCAACUGAGCUCCAAGUUACUUAUCCUGGUUUGACGCAGCUGUGAGAGGAGAUUCAGCCCCUACUCUUCGGGGAGGUAUCUAAGGGGCAGGGAAUGGCACUGGAAUUUGCUGUUCUAAGUUUUGGUGACUGAGUUGUAUAAGAGCCCAGACCCAGGUCUCGCGUCAUCCUGAGGAAGAUGAUGGCUAUUACCAAUUGUUUUAUUUUAUACCAGGGGAGCCCAGUGUCUCCUUAGAGUGAGCAAGAGCCAAAGUGACUAGAAACAAAAGUGAAAGUGACCAGCCAAGUUUGUCCUGGCUGAGGGAAAUGCAAACCGGCAGAAUAGAGAGAAUCAAGAAGAAGUUUUGAACCUUCCAGUGACUUCCCACACUUGCGGGGGUAGUGGCUUUGGUGGGCUGCUCCUAAUGAUCUGAAUCCUGGGUCAGGAUAUUCCCCUCCAGUUGCACCCUGUGAAGCAUGAACUGGAAUCACUAACAGGAAGCUGUAUUGCGAGCCCUUGCCAUGCCUGCUACAAGAAAUAAGUUGAGCGAGGCUGGGGAAAUUGUAAUGUCCCGGUGCUCUGCAGAAUUUGUGUGUGUGUGUAUAGAAUUUCCAGCUCAGAUCCUCAACCGGUGUCACCUGGCGCAGCUCUAUUGAAGUUAAUGGAGCUAUGCCGUUUAGACCAGAUCUUUAGCUUGUAUAAUGUAUUUAAAGAGAUGUAGCUGUGGGAAGAAUAUCUUUUGUAUUAUAUUGUAGGUGAGGCCAAAUGCUCAGGAAAAAUAAAUACUACUGUCUGACAAGUA